GAGAGAGAGAGAGAGAGAGAGAGAGAGAGAGAGAGAGAGAGAGAGAGAGAGAGAGAGAGAGAGAGAUUUACAUAGAUUUACAUAGAUCAGACCACACAGACCCCAUGGUCCAGAGUAGGUGGUCUGUCCUUAAACUAAGUGAUUUUACAUUAAUAAGAUGGCUCCAUAACUUCGCGUUUCACUCUAGUUAAUAUUAAGUUGAAGGAAGUGUCGGUCGAGCUUGUUUUUAAAGGAGUCAAUCGUGUUACUGUGGACCACUGAAGGUGAAAACUUAUUCCAUUCUCGCACUACAAAGUUGGUGAAGAAAAAAAUUGGUGCAGUCUGAAUUUACUUGUCUUCAUUUGAGUUUUGUGCCAUUAUUCCUCGUCCGCAGUGUCAUCGAUCAUAAACAAUUUUAAUUUGUCCACGUUCGUGAAUCCAUUAAGUAUUUUGUUGUCACUAUUUUAAAACAUUCGAUCAGUAUUCCUCGGAGGCGACGUUUCUCAAGAGAUAACAUGUUAAGGGCGGAGAGAGAGAGAGAGAGAGAGAGAGAGAGAGAGAGAGAGAGAGAGAGAGAGAGAGAGAGAGAGAGAGAUUUACACAGAUAAACAUAGAUGUUCAGACCCACAAAGACCCUCUGGUUCAGAUUAAGGGUUUUGUCCCUUAACCUAAAUGAAAGUAUUUGUGACAAGACGUGUUUGGGCUAGUUGCACAUUUUAUUCUGGCCAGCUAUCACGACGGAAAAUAACCAUAAGGCUUGAUGAGUAAAACGCACGGAAUGUGAUGGCCUUGGUGGCAAUUGGUGAGUGAGACUAAACGAGGUGUGCAUGGGAUGAAUGUAAAGCAGAGACUCCUAUAUGGCGAGUCAAGGGAGUUAGAUAUAUGCGGAUUUAAAAGGUUGUCACAAGUAAAGGAUUUUGUCGCACUUUCAAAUUUCUGAUAAAAAGGAAUAAAAUUUUGAUGGCACAAGGGACCGGAUGCAUCGCUUGCAGAAGAUAAUAUAAUUAACAACAAUCACAGAAGUGAAGUGGUUAGCACUCCUAGCUAGAAUCUACAGGGCCCGUAUCCUCGAGAGCUAUUAACUUUUACUCUUAAAGUUACUAUCAAAGUUAAUAGCUUCAAAUUAUUAAGAGUAAAAGCUAUCCUCGUCAACUUUGAGUGUAGGUAUUAGCAAAUCCUGGCUACUAUUAUCUUCUUCUUCUUCUUCUUUAUGGCGGGCUCGUUGCUAAGGACGCCUCCGUGCAAAACGUAAACAUCCGACAUGAAUUAAGUAUAUAUUUCAAAAGAAUAAUAAAGGAAAGAUGUAUAAAUGUACAACAGAAACAUAAUAAAUGGCAAACACAAGAAAAUACUGAGUUUUGUGGCAGAUAGAAGCAGCCUCAAAGGCUGUUUUUACUCCGUCACUCGUCAAUACCCUUAUCUCCCCGCCUGCGUCACGACUUGCUCUGCUGAAAUUACCGCACCAUAACCACGUCAUCUGCCCCAAUGAUCUACGGGCCGGAGAACCAGCGCAGAAAAGGAGUAAGUUUAAUUGGUCGCCAGAUGAAACGGUCUUCUUACAUCAAAUUCAAGAAAAAAUACGUAUAAUCAGAGGGUGUUAUGGGAAGAGUAUCACCCCUGAGGAUAAGAAGAGAGCGUGGACUGAAGUGGCAGAAGCUGUAACAAGUGCCUUCCCUGGGAGUGGACCCCGUACGCAGGAUGACUGUGAGAGGCGUUGGUACAACGUACAACAAAAAUCAAAGCCUUGCAUUGCCAAGUGCAAGAGUGAGCAGCAGCAGACUGAUACACACUUUAUCAGUAUUGCUAGAGACCAUCCCAGCACAUUGUUCAUUACUUGUGGAAAAGAUACCAUUAGCUGCUCCGGCAACAGCCACCGCUUCAAUAUCUGCUGGCCCUAUGACACCAGCCACUGCUUCAUCAUCUGCUGGCCCUAUGACACCAGCCACUGUUUCAUCAUCUGCUGGCCCUAUGACACCAGCCACUGCUUCAUCAUCUGCUGGCCCAAUGACACCUGCCACUGCAAGGGAUGACAAUGAAGCUGCUCCACCAGUCACCACCUACUUCAUCGGAGUUAAGAGAUGCCUUUCAUAGGGCAGCAGUAUAAUUUUUUGAUGCUGGGGCUGAAUAUUACUGCCUCAAGGCUAUGAUUUUGUCACUUUUUUUUUUUAUUACUGAGGAGGUUAGGGUGGAAGGGGUGAAAAAUAAUUUGUGCUGUUUUUCGACAGAAAUGAUUAGCAAAUUCAUUCAAAGCACAAAAUUUACCGGAAAAAAAUUGUGUGCCAUUGUGAGUGGGUUCACUUGAGAUUGGGCUCCAAUACGCCUCCGUGGUCUAAUGGUCAGCAUGCCUGGAUUCUACGCGGGCCCGGGUUCGAAUCCCGGCCUGGGCAGUCGGCGUGCAGCUCACCCAGCUGAUCAUCCUCCCUCUCGGGCUGGUCGAUAAAUGACUACCUGGGGAAACUGUGGUAGCCUGGAUGUCACACUGGCCCUGUGUCCCGGGGUAAUGGGCUCCCUCUCACCACAGGCUCAAGGCCCAAUGUUACGGAGAUGAGCACCGAGGCCACGCGCUGCUAUAGCGUAUGCCCCAACUUUACCUUUACCUUUAUUGGCUCGACUGACAGACAUGGCUUUGUAUGUCGAAGGUCACUGGUUCAAUCUCCACAGCCAGCACUCUCUAACUUGGAUUUCUCCGAGUUCCCUAGAGCCUAGAUUAAUUUCUGAGUGUUAAAUGAGGAGAUUUGCACCGGCACCCAGUCAUGGGUGUUACAAGAUGCGUUGUUACAAUCAGGGGCGUCAAUUGGCCUUCAAAAGUGGGAGGGACAUUAGGGCAGACAGUUA